CCACAAAUACCACAUAUAGAGAGACUUGAGAGAAUCAUUGCUAGGAACUCUGAGUUUUAUUUUAAAAACUUAUGAAAAACUCUAGAACAAAGGUGAAGUAUAGACAGGAGGGAUAGUGCUUGACUUAACUGUUUUGUCUUUCGAUUACUUAAGACUUAAGUGCAGGUGCUAAACUCCAUAACACUUCACUAUAAUCUGGAAGUAUUUUUAUGUAAAAGCAUGUGUGCCUG
rnacentral:lncRNA from 1 species